ACCAGUAAACCAAAACCUGGUGCUCAGGUGAUGAUCUUCUUUUCCUGAUUUUCAUUCAGCCUAGCACAGCCCCCCCUCCCACUCAUGGGGCGGUGCUGUUCACAUUCAAGUUAGAGCUUACUCCUUCAGUUCAUUCUUUCUGGAACAGCCAUCAAGGCAUGCCCAAAGAUGUUCCUUAUUAAUAAUGCACUAGGUGUUUAUUAAUCCAAUGAAGAUGAUAAUUAAAAUUGGGUAUCACACUGGAUCAGCACUAGCAGUAUCAAGUGGGAGCUUGUUACACACAGAGAAUCCUGGGCUAUGGCAAGAUGUGCCUACUGCCGCAAUAGUGGCAAGAUCGUUAUGGCGUGAUACCUUCCUAAUUAGUUAUGAGGCCUGCCCCACAGGAGGCAUUGCUGCUACUACACACCUGGUCAAAAUCCAGUGACUUGGGAGAUCCUAGAUCCCAGAGGGAACCUACUACUGUUGCUCACGGUGCCAAGCUGCCUUCUGAACAAAUGGUUUUAUCCCCAUAGAUUUGUGUUGUUCUCGGCUUUUGUCAGGGAAGCUUCGUUUGGAAGUGGGUAGGGGUUAGUGUAGAGAUUCAGAUCUGGUCAAAUGAGGAGGAUAAGUAACUGACUGCAAGUGCUCAGCUGCGGGUGAAUCAUCUAUAGCACUCCUGCCUCCAUCCAAGGCUCAGGGAACAUUGUGGAAGAUGUGGCGGAAAGGCUGUAAGAGCUGGCAGUUUGCUGGGCAUAGCGGGGCUGAUGCAGCAACACACAGCAGCUGUAGCUAUCUGCAUGAUGCCUGCACUAGAUCAAGCCAGUCAAAUUCCAACACGGAUGGGGGUGGACUCUUCUACUGGCCCCGUAGUAUGAAGCUGCUGUUUGGAAUUUGGAUUUUGAGUAUCUUUACCACAUUGCUCUGCUCCCAAACGCCCCCACCUACCUCGUAGUGCCGUACUACGGCGACUUUUCUCCCACUUGUCGGUAUGGAGAGCUCAUGGUUGAUUCCACUAAGGUUUUACUGGUCCCAUUUGGAGUCCAUGGCUUGCUUUAAACUUAUUAAACUUCCUGUAUGAGUGACAACAUUGUGAUCAACUAUGGUAAGAUAAUGAGUCUUUCCAACCCUUCUGGUUCUGGGCUUAGCUGUGAACCGUUCACUGCCCCAAAUCUAAUAUCCAGGAGAGGAGAGUCUGAAGGAAGGGGGCAAGCCUAUUCAAGAAUCAUUACCUUAGAAGAUGGGGUGCCUUUAAGCUCCAUCUUGGAGGAGUAAGGGGGUCAAAGGCUUCAGUAGACAAGAGAAAAGCUAGACAAAGUAGGUACAGCGAGGCGGUGGGCAGAAAGGCCAGGUGCUGAGCAGUAUCUUCAUGGCCCAGGACACGCUCUCCUCCCCAACUCCCAUGACCAGGACAUCACAAGUUACCUUGACCUUUUUUUCUCCCUGUAAGUUAAAUGUUACAGCAAUUCCAUGCUUUGCCUUCCUUGAUGUAUUAGGCAAAGGUCCAAGGAACCUUAGGCAUUGCAAGGAUCUCCAUAUACUCUGGGUCCUGAAAUCUGAUGAGAGAUUAUUUCACACUUAACGUUUCAGCCUCAGGUCUGGCUUCUCCUUAGAACUUACAAUGCUGGGGAAAAGAGGGGCUCUGUUAUUUACAAAAGGAUCAUGGAGGGAAAACAGCCUUGUAGAAGGAUAAAGGGAGAGAAUGAGGAUGUAGGAACUCUGCCAAGGACCACUGUCCCCAAAGGAGUGAGUGGUUCUUUCACCCUUUCAGCACAGAGACUCCUUCUUAGCCUCUUGGCCAGUUAGCCCAGUACCAUCCCAGUAGGUUGCAGCAGGUGCUUCUGCUUGGUUCCCUUUCUCAAUCUCACCAUCUCAAUCUGAAGGUCAUCCCGCCACUUGGAGUGCAAUCUUCUCAGAGGAGAAGGCUCUCACUUGAAGAUGCCCACCAAGUCCCCAGCAUCGCAGGACUAUAUCCAAUGCCCAGCUGGCUGGGCUCCAAGCAAGUCAGUUCCUGAUGGAAAAUGUUUGCCGUUUUCACAGGAUGCUGUGUCUUUCUAUUUUUAACAAAGAACAUUGUCUGGGGGACGAGAAAAGGUUUCGGCUUUUAUGAAAGAAGAAAGUCACAUCAAUGUCAAUGGAAGAGGGAUUUGUCCUGCUAGAAUAAUUCAUUUCCUUGUUGAGGUACAGGUGGCUGUGCUCUUACCGGACACGACCAUCAGGAUGUCGCUUCCCUAGCUGGCUGCACCCCUUUAAUGAGUGAAAUGGACAACAGGAUCAUCUUGAGAUGGAGGAGCUAGUUACCGGGAGGUGUUAGCUCAAAGGAAUGGUGGUUGUCUUGAACAGCUGGAGCAUCAAUGUCCCCAAGGAUUGGUUCCUCAAAUGGAAUUCUGGGAAUCAUAGGAUUAGCUACUCCUGAGGAUGGGUUGGCAAUGAAGAACCCAGGCCCCACCCCCAACCUCUGCUGCUAAAGUCUACCAAUUUGGGUAGUGUGAUCUAGCCGAAGAUAAAUGACCAUAGCCCAGGAACAUGAAUUCAGGAUGUUCCCGAAGACACGUUUCACGGUGGAAAUGGUUGAGUGAGAUUUUAUUAGCAGAACAAAGAAAGUCACAAAUCCAGGAAGUGAGGUGUUCAGAGGACAUGGAAACGAUGCAGAGGCUUUUGUAGGUGGCUCUCCUAUCAAAUCAUCUGUCACUGCGCAAAUUCCUCAGAUACACCCUUCCACCCCAGCCUUGGUUCUUAUAGAGGUGCUGCUGGGACGAGCUGGAGUGAGUCUGGCUCAGCGAAUCAGUGUAACAGAAGCCGGAAGCCCACAGAUAGGCCAAGCAGAACCGAAGAGCUGGCACAGAAGGGCAGGUCACGUGACCUAGAAGAAUACACCCUUCAAUUCAUGUCUUUCACCUGUGUCCAAGGACUUUAUGGUCCUUUCGGCCCUUCCCUGAUAUGCUGGCUAGUUCUUGCCAGCUUGACACAAACUGGAGACAUCUGGGAGGAGGGCCCCUCAAUGGAGGAAUUACCUUCACAGAUACGUUUACGGUGUGUCUCGGGAGGGCAUUUUCUUGAUGGAUAAGGGCUAGCCCACUGACGGCUGCACCACCUCUGGCAGGUGGUCCUGGAAGGCAUAGGAAAGGUUGCUGGAGGUAAGCGGCAUUUCUUCUUUAGUUUCUGCCUUGGUUUUCCUCUGCGGACUGUGCUCUGAAGGUAUAACCCAAGUAAAACCUUUCCUUCCCAAGUUGCUUUUGGUCACAGCAUUGAUCGCAGCAACAGAAAGCAAACUUGGACCCUUGGAAACAGAGUUCAUCUUGCCCAAAUGUGUUCUCCGCAGCUCGCAGAACUCCUUGUGUCAUCUGUGGUAGUUAAAUUGAUUGUAGACUUGAAGGGGUGGAGGAGCACUGUGGAAACAAACCUUUAGGACACAGGACGUUCCACCUAGAGUGUGGGUGGCACCAUGCCAUGGGCUGGGGUCCUGGACUGAAAGCUGCCCCUCCCCCUUUCUCUGUUCCCAACUGAAGACACAAUGAUAAGAUCGGCUGCUCUCUUCUGCUGCCACGCCUUCCUCAGCAUCCAACCACGAGCCAGAAUAAACUCUUCCUUCCUUCCUUUUUUUUUUCCAGUCAUUUUGUUACAACAAAGAGAAAAAUAAUGCAUGCAUCAUAUAUCACAACCUUGUAAGAGGCCUGAACCCUACUGAGUCCUCAUGCACCCCAACCAGAGUUCAUGUCUCCAUAAGGUCAUGUCACGUGACCACCCCUUCCUCCUGCAAAUUGCUGCCUUUGGCGCCUUCCCUUGGAUCAUUUCAAAUCCCCGCCUAGUCAAAUGUCAACCCAACUUCUACAACGUUUUCAUUUUAAAAGCCCUAUUAGACUCUCCAAUGUUCCUGAGCAGUUCACAAACUCCAUUGUAUAAACACCGAACGUUCACCAGGCCUAGACAGAAGCAGUGCCCAGUGUUACCGGGACUGUCAGACCUUGAACUACACUUGGCCAGCUCAACUGCUAGUGUGUUGAACAUCAAUUCGCUAAUUCAAUAGUUUAUUGGCGUUGGAUGGGCUUGAAUUUGACCUGUACCUCCCAUUAGAAGCCUUCCUAAAGGCGACACCAGGGAAGGAGACACAAGUCUGUGGGAGGCAGCCUGAGUGUAGGAGGGAGAGAGCUGAUUGCAGGCAGUAACUGCAAUAAAAGGGCGGCAGGGAAGCCAUAAAGCUAUUCACUGGAGGAACAGGGACACAGCUUUCCACAGAGGGCAGGUGAGCAAUGGACUGCUGGAGUUGUGGCCCAAGGGCCUUCAGCAUACCAAGGUUGAGUAUAUCUGUACCUAUCUGCAAAAUGCCAGUUGGAACAGGUUGGUACAGGGAGGUACCUGGAUGUGAUAAUCACCCAUAUCCAGGCACCCAUAGAGACUGCCACCCACUAGAGUGGCCUCUGCAGACCAGAAGGCUCUGCUGAAGGGCUGAGGUCUCCUGGGAGCAGAACAGUCUAGACCUUGGCAAGGCCCACAUCACCUCCUUUGAGAAACUCUGUGGAUAACGCAGCAUGCAGGGCUCUCUCCAGAGAUCUGGAAAGCAUUCGGAAGCAUCUUGUGCUAGCACCCAGACCCUAACCAUGGCCUCUUGGAGCCACGCUCAAUCCUCAGUGACUCUCGGCUAGGGAGAGCCCCCCCAUGAGUCCAUUUUCAGUGCAGUUUAUUGAGUUAAAUGCUAAGAGCAGAAGUGGGCGGCUUUUCUUGACAAGGGCCCAAGUAAAUAUGUGGGGCUUGGUGGGCCAUACGAUCUCACUCCCAGCUCUGUCCCAAUUGUAGAAGAGGCCUCAGAUAACACAUAAAUAAGGGGCAUGGGUACUGUGGGCUGAGAGAACACUGCAAUGGACAGAGACAUUUGAGUGUGUGUGGUCUUCACUAUCCCAAACCAUUGUUCUGAGUUUUCCAACAGUGAAAAAUAUGAAAAGCAUUCUUUGCUCACAGGCUGUGCAAAAACAUGCAGUAUUCUGGAGGCUGUGAUAUA